GCGGCGGCCGUGCGGAGCCUCGAGGGCGGACGGGGACACGCGCCGGGCCGCGGCCCUACGGAGGACGCGAUCAAACCCUGACGAACGGGUCUCGGAGAGUCGGAGAGGGGCGGUCUUUGAACCGCUUUGCCGAGGGUGGGAACAGCGGCAGCCCCGGAGUUGAAUAACGCGGCGCCAGGAGGCUGUGAGGAACAGUCACAAUUUGAAAACUACACAAAGGCUUAUUUUAUAAGUCUUUACACUUAGACUAUAUUAGCUGGGUCAAGCUUCCUUUCUGGUGGGAUUUGUGUGUCCCGAAGGCUGGUGUUUCUUUUGAAUGAAAAAUGGCCUUUUAAAAAAAAAAUCCAACCAUCUCAGUCCAGGUGCCAGACAGAGUGAAGAAGCAAUCCUGGACAUCCAGCCCUGCAUCUUCAGCUAGAAUUUUCCUCAAAAAAAGACAUAUUUCUGAAAAACCAGAAGGCAUAAAACAAUUCAGAAAGUGAAGAAAAAAAAGAAGAAAAAGAAGAAGAGGAGGAGGAGGAAGAGGAAGAAGAAGAAGAAACAACCCACAAGUAUGCAAG